rnacentral:rRNA from 1 species
GCAUUGGACUUUGAAGUCACUUGUGUAGGAUAGGUGGGAGGCUUUGAAGCAGAGACGCCAGUCUCUGUGGAGCCGUCCUUGAAAUACCACCCUGGUGACUUUGAGGUUCUAACCCAGACCCGUUAUCCGGGUCGGGGACCGUGCAUGGUAGGCAGUUUGACUGGGGCGGUCUCCUCCCAAAGAGUAACGGAGGAGUUCGAAGGUUACCUAGGUCCGGUCGGAAAUCGGACUGAUAGUGCAAUGGCAAAAGGUAGCUUAACUGCGAGACCGACAAGUCGAGCAGGUGCGAAAGCAGGACAUAGUGAUCCGGUGGUUCUGAAUGGAAGGGCCAUCGCUCAACGGAUAAAAGGUACUCCGGGGAUAACAGGCUGAUUCCGCCCAAGAGUCCAUAUCGACGGCGGAGUUUGGCACCUCGAUGUCGGCUCAUCACAUCCUGGGGCUGUAGUCGGUCCCAAGGGUAUGGCUGUUCGCCAUUUAAAGUGGUACGUGAGCUGGGUUUAAAACGUCGUGAGACAGUUUGGUCCCUAUCUGCAG